rnacentral:tRNA from 1 species
AAGGGAGAAAGAUAUCCCGGGAGAGUGCUAAUUUUUCUGGGCCAUGGUUAAACUCCAUGGGUCCCUUG